rnacentral:rRNA from 1 species
CGGUGUUUAACUGGCGUGAUGUGGGACGUCCUACCGGUGGGCUUAGCCUCGCGAGGGACGGCCCAACUAAUAUCCCGUCGCGGUGCUCUUUACUGAGUGUCGAGUCGGGCCGGUACGUUUACUUUGAACAAAUUAGAGUGCUUAAAGCAGGCUAUCCUCGCCUGAAUACUGCGUGCAUGGAAUAAUGGAAUAGGACCUCGGUUCUAUUUUGUUGGUUUUCGGAACCCCGAGGUAAUGAUUAAUAGGGACAGAUGGGGGCAUUCGUAUUGCGACGUUAGAGGUGAAAUUCUUGGAUCGUCGCAAGACGGACAGAAGCGAAAGCAUUUGCCAAAAAUGUUUUCAUUAAUCAAGAACGAAAGUUAGAGGUUCGAAGGCGAUCAGAUACCGCCCUAGUUCUAACCAUAAACGAUGCCAGCUAGCGAUCCGCCGAAGUUCCUCCGAUGACUCGGCGGGCAGCUUCCGGGAAACCAAAGCUUUUGGGUUCCGGGGGAAGUAUGGUUGCAAAGCUGAAACUUAAAGGAAUUGACGGAAGGGCACCACCAGGAGUGGAGCCUGCGGCUUAAUUUGACUCAACACGGGAAACCUCACCAGGCCCAGACACCGGAAGGAUUGACAGAUUGAUAGCUCUUUCUUGAUUCGGUGGGUGGUGGUGCAUGGGCCGUUCUUAGUUGGUGGAGCGAUUUGUCUGGUUAAUUCCGAUAACGAACGAGACUCUAGCCUGCUAAAUAGGCGUACCUUAUGGUAUCGCGAAGGCCCCCGGCUUCGGCCGGUGGGUUUUUACUACCAACGUACAAACAAAUCUUCUUAGAGGGACAGGCGG